CUGGCCUUGACAUCCUGCGAACUUUCUAGAGAUAGAUUGGUGCCUUCGGGAGCGCAGUGACAGGUGCUGCAUGGCCGUCGUCAGCUCGUGUCGUGAGAUGUUGGGUUAAGUCCCGUAACGAGCGCAACCCCUAUCCCUAGUUGCUAGCAGUUCGGCUGAGAACUCUAGGGAGACUGCCGGUGACAAACCGGAGGAAGGUGGGGAUGACGUCAGGUCAUCAUGGCCCUUACGGCCAGGGCUACACACGUGCUACAAUGGCGCGCACAGAGGGCUGCAAACCCGCGAGGGGGAGCUAAUCUCACAAAACGCGUCGUAGUCCGGAUCGCAGUCUGCAACUCGACUGCGUGAAGUCGGAAUCGCUAGUAAUCGCGAAUCAGAAUGUCGCGGUGAAUACGUUCCC
rnacentral:rRNA from 1 species